rnacentral:snRNA from 1 species
GUGCUCACUUCAGCAGGACAUAUAUUAAAAUUGGAACGAUACAGAGAAGAUUAGCAAGGCCCCUGUGCAAAGAUGACAUGCAAAUUCAUGAAGUGUUCCAUAUUUUU